rnacentral:lncRNA from 1 species
CAGGUUAAGGGUAGAUAUGGAGUUAGGAGGCAGGAGCAGGUAAAGGGUAGAUAUGUAGUUAGAAGGCAGGUUAAGGGUAGAUAUGGAGUUAGGAGGCAGGAGCAGGUGAAGGGUAGAUAUGGAGGCAGGAGCAGAUAAAGGGUAGAUAUGGAGACAGGAGCAGAUAAAGGGUAGAUAUGGAGGCAGGAGCAGAUAAAGGGUAGAUAUGGAGGCAGGAGCAGGUAAAGGGUAGAUAUGGAGGCAGGAGCAGGUUAAGGGUAGAUAUGGAGUUAGGAGGCAGGAGCAGGUAAAGGGUAGAUAUGGAGGUAGGAGCAGGUUUAGGGUAGAUAUGGAGGCAGGAGGCAGGUUUAGGGUAGAUAUGUAGUUAGGAGGCAGGUUACGGGUAGACAUGGAGUUAGGAGGCAGGAGCAGGUAAAGGGUAGAUAUGGAGGCAGGAGCAGGUAAAGGGUAGAUAUGGAGGCAGGAGCAGGUAAAGGGUAGAUAUGGAGUUAGGAGGCAGGAGCAGGUAAAGGGUAGAUAUGUAGUUAGAAGGCAGGUUAAGGGUAGAUAUGGAGUUAGGAGACAGGAGCAGGUAAAGGGUAGAUAUGAAGGCAGGAGCAGGUAAAGGGUAGAUAUGGAGGCAGGAGCAGGUAAAGGGUAGAUAUGGAGGCAGGAGCAGGUUAAGGGUAGAAAUGGAGUUUUGAGGCAGGUUAAGGGUAGAUAUGGAGUUAGGAGGCAGGAGCAGGUAAAGGGUAGAUAUGGAGGUAGGAGCAGGUAAAGGGUAGAUAUGGAGGCAGGAGGCAGGUUAAGGGUAGAUAUGUAGUUAGGAGGCAGGAGCAGGUAAAGGGUAGAUAUGGAGGCAGGAGCAGGUAAAGGGUAGAUAUGGAGGCAGGAGCAUGUAAAGCGUAGAUAUGGAGUUAGGAGGCAGGAGCAGGCAAAGGGUAGAUAUGUAGUUUGGAGGCAGGUUAAGGGUAGAUAUGGAGUUAGGAGACAGGAGCAGGUAAAGGGUAGAUAUGGAGGCAGGAGCAGGUUAAAGGUAGAUAUGGAGUUAGGAGGCAGGUUAAGGGUAGAUAUGGAGUUAGGAGGCAGAUUAAGGGUAGAUAUGGAGUUAGGAGGCUGGUUAUUAAGGGUAGAUAUGGAGUUAGGAGGCAGGUUUAGGGUAGAUGUGGAGGCAGGAGCAGGUAAAGGGUAGAUAUGGAGGCAGGAGCAUGUAAAGGGUAGGUAUGGAGGCAGGAGCAGGUAAAGGGUAGAUAUGGAGGCAGGAGCAUGUAAAGGGUAGAUAUGGAGUUAGGAGGCAGGAGCAGGUAAAGGGUAGAUAUGUAGUUUGGAGGCAGGUUAAGGGUAGAUAUGGAGUUAAGAGACAGGAGCAGGUUAAGGGUAGAUAUGGAGGCAGGAGCAGGUUAAGGGUAGAAAUGGAGUUAGGAGGCAGGUUAAGGGUAGAUAUGGAGGCAGGAGCAGGUUAAAGGUAGAUAUGGAGUUAGGAGGCAGGUUAAGGGUAGAUAUGGAGUUAGGAGGCAGAUUAAGGGUAGAUAUGGAGUUAGGAGGCUGGUUAUUAAGGGUAGAUAUGGAGUUAGGAGGCAGGUUUAGGGUAGAUAUGGAGGCAGGAGCAGGUAAAGGGUAGAUAUGGAGUUAGGAGGCAGGAGCAGGUAAAGGGUAGAUAUGGAGUUAGGAGGCAGGUUAAGGGUAGAUAUGGAGUUAGGAGACAGGAGCAGGUAAAGGGUAGAUAUGGAGGCAGGAGCAGGUAAAGGGUAGAUAUGGAGUUAGGAGGCAGGUUAUUAUGGGUAGAUAUGGAGUUAGGAGGCAGGUUGUUAAGGGUAGAUAUAGAGUUAGGAGGCAGGUUUAGGGUAGAUAUGGAGUUAGGAGGCAGGUAAAGGGUAGAUAUGGAGUUAGGAGGCAGGUUAUUAUGGGUAGAUAUGGAGUUAGGAGGCAGGUUGAUAAGGGUAGAUAUAGAGUUAGGAGGCAGGUUUAGGGUAGAUAUGGAGUUAGGAGGCAGGUUAUUAUGGGUAGAUAUAGAGUUAGGAGGCAGGUUUAGGGUAGAUAUGGAGUUAGGAGGCAGGUUAUUAUGGGUAGAUAUGGAGUUAGGAGGCAGGUUGAUAAGGGUAGAUAUAGAGUUAGGAGGCAGGUUUAGGGUAGAUAUGGAGUUAGGAGGCUGUUUUUUUUAUUUUACCUUAAUUUAACUAGGC